rnacentral:rRNA from 2 species
UACGGGGGGGGCAAGCGUUGUUCGGAAUUACUGGGCGUAAAGGGUUUGUAGGUGGUCUGUUAAGUCAGACGUGAAAUCCCUCAGCUUAACUGGGGAACUGCGUCUGAGACUGAUGGACUUGAGGGCAGGAGAGGAACGCGGAAUUCCAGGUGUAGCGGUGAAAUGCGUAGAUAUCUGGAGGAACACCGGUGGCGAAGGCGGCGUUCUGGACUGUUUCUGACACUGAAAAACGAAAGCCAGGGGAGCAAACGGG